UACGGGGGGAGCAAGCGUUGUUCGGAUUUACUGGGCGUAAAGGGCGCGUAGGCGGCCACCGCAAGUCGACUGUGAAAUCUCUGGGCUUAACCCAGAACGGUCAGCCGAUACUGCGGGGCUAGAGUGCAUAAGGGGCAACUGGAAUUCUCGGUGUAGCGGUGAAAUGCGUAGAUAUCGAGAGGAACACCUGCGGCGAAGGCGGGUUGCUGGGCUGACACUGACGCUGAGGCGCGAAAGCUAGGGGAGCGAACGGG
rnacentral:rRNA from 1 species